GUUUGGUUGUAUUGCUACUGACUGCAGUUAGAAUGGGAUGAUUGGGGUGUGCCCCUCUAAUGCCCAGAAUGGGUUUAAGAAAGUACUCAAAGCAGCCUGUUGGGUAAGAGAAGGAGGGGACAGGGAGAGGAAAUCUUUAGUAUAACCAGGCUGUGGUGGUGGAGACAGGGCUUUGGAGAUCAACCCAGCUAGUCACAGGACAAAGCCAAGGGUCAGGAUUCUGGUUGCAGCAGCUCUGUGAAUAAAGAUAGGUGGCAUUUUGCCACAUACCAUGAAGAUGACAGAGGUUAGUACAUGGGUAAGGAGAAAAGACAAACAGACUUAAAAGCAGACUUUGUAGUUGCACCUUUUUAAAUGAGGCAAUUUUCCGUGGUAUUUUUCCAAGGAAACCCACAAAACUCCAGGAAAUAUGGAGCCAGAAAGGUUACAGUCAUCUGUAAAUUGUGUCCUUUUGUGGGGUGAUCAUUAAUUAUAUCUGGCACAAACAUAAGUCUCCCUGCUACAUAAGAUGAAAGAAAACAACACCAGUUCUAACCACUCUAACUUGUAUGAAAAGUUGGAAGAAAUAUUGUAUGAGAAAGGCACAAGGAAAAGGAAAAGCUUUUAAGAGAAAAGAGGGAUAUCAGUGUCUUAAGGAAGACAAGUAGGAAGUGACUUAGGGAGGUGGCAACACCUGCUGUAUUGGAGUUAUUCAGAGAGGCUGGGUGGGAAGGGGUAGCAGGGGAGGCUCUCUUGACUUGUAAAAGUAGUGUUGUCAUCCUACACAGCACAGAGGUUUGAAGAGUCUCGUAGGCACCAACAAGUGGUGCAAGAAGUGUGUACCGUUCCUGUGGCUGGUGACCUCUCUGUGGGGUGGGAAUCAACUGAUUUUUCUGGAGGUAUAAUACUACCUCCUCACAGAAGUUUGUUUGUUUUGUGGGUGGUGAUGGUGGUGGUGGUGAUUAGGUGAUUUGGGCAUGGGAAAAUGAAUCACAACCAUAAUGAUAAUCACAAACAUUAAUGAAAUGCUUAACAGGUGCCAGGCACUGUGCUAAGAGCUUUAUAGGUGCUUUCAGAAAUUCUUGGCAUCUUAUAUCUGGAGGUGUGCUAUCUUCCUGAGGGACAUAUCCAAAAUAUGAUGGGAAAUCUGAUUCUUACCAAAUCCAUCAGGUUGGAAAUAAAUGAUAUAGGAAUCAUGGUACAUGUGUGUGUUGGGCUAUUUGUGUGCCUCAGGGUCAUGGCCUCUUUAAGCCCAAAGGGAUAACUAGGAAGUUUCUAAGAGCACUCCUCUUCAGUUAGCUGAAGUAACUUCUGAUAGGGCUCAGGAUUUGAAUUAUUAUUAUUAUUAUUUAUCCUUUUUUUUAGUUGUUGAUGGACCUUUAUUUUACUUAUUUGUAUGUGGUGCUGAGAAUUGAACCCAGUGCCUCAUACAUACUAGGCAAGCACUCUACCACAGAGCUACAACCUCAGUCCUGGAUUAUUAUUAACUUUUAAAUCCAAUUUUUACAUUAGUUCAUGCAUUCUUUUGUAAAUUUUCUUAUUUGUUAAAAAUUUAUUUAGUGCCUAUUAUGUUCCAAGCACUAGGUGUAUGUUGAUAGAAAUUCAUUAGACAUGUUCCUUGUCCUCUUGGAGUUUAUAAGAGAGUAAGGAGAAGGCUUAUAAACUAAUGUUUGUCCAAGUCUUAGGAUGCUCAACUUGUCUGGCUUGCCUGUUUUUAGUAUUGACAAUUUUGUGCCCCAGGUAACCCCUAAGUCCUGGACAAAUCCUUCCAAGACUUGAGUAAGCAUAAGGUAUCUUGCCACUGAUGCAAGAGGUUAGGGGCUAAAACUAUGCCACUGUGACAUUUUUUUUCUUAUGUCUGCUAAGACAGACAUAAAAGGAAGAAACUUAUUCCUGCUACUUUGUGGGGUUACUAAAAAUCUUUGAGUGUUGCAUACUGAAAACUUUUGAACACUAGAAUUUAAGUCUAUGGAUUUUUAGACAGUAGCUAAGUUUCUGUUGGAUAACUGGUAGGUGGAAAUGAUUACAGUCUUUUAAAAGUCACUGCUGAUGCUGGGACUGUCAGAGGACUGGGAAGACUUGUGUUGCUGAAAUGAUUUUACAGAAUGUUUUAAAACUUCUGGAUUGAUUUACAGAGAGUUUGGUUGAAGUCUAUUUGAGGAACUGCAACAAAUACAUCCUUAUUCCAUGAAGACUUAUCUUCAGUUCCCAGAAGCAUUCAGAGAAAGUGAGAAAUAGAGAAGUCAAACUUCAAGGUGUCCUUAUUUAAGGCUUGGAAUUUCUACCCUCUUCCUGGACAGAGAUUAAUAGUACCAGGGCCCAAGCUUGAAGAUAUUACUCAAGUCAUGGGUUGACCUGCUAGGAUAGGCAGUGGUACCUAUGAUGGACAUGGUUAAUUGCCAUAGCAGGUGUCUGAGGCUGGGAAAAAGCAUUGUCUGAGGAUAGCCUAGAAGACCAGCCUUUGGGGUCCUUGACUUAAAAACAUUGCUUAAUGACUGGAGAUGACUGCUGAAUAAUUUAGCAUAUGUUUUGUGCUAAUUCUAAAGAAAGGAGCAUGAGUUAUAUGUUAAACUUUUUACUUACAAGAAGGAAAGUAAAAAGAUGUCUGUGUUUAUGUUAUAGUUAGGAACUUUGUCAUAUAGAGUGCCAGCCCAGGACACUUAGACUUUAUAGAGGGCCUGAAAAUCUGUAGAGCAGAUGGACAGGGACAGAGUUGAAUAUUAUGUCAUACUCCAAGCCUAGCUUAACUUAAAGUCAUUUCAUUCUUUUUUAAAUAUUUAUUAUUUUUUAGUUAUAGUUGGACAUAAUACCUUUAUUUCACUUAUUUAUUUUUAUGUGGUGCUGAGGUUCGAACCCAGGGUCUCGCAUGUGUGAGGUGAGCGCUCUACCGUUCUAGCCACAACCCCAGCCCUCAUUUCAUUCUUCACUUAACUUCUAAUUGCUAAGGCUAUAAAGGAAGUUAUGGCAAUACCUAGCUAGCCACCACUGGCUAGCCACCACUCCCAUUCUCCACUCCUUUUGCUUUACCCAAUUUUCAGUCUUCAGUCAUUGGUCUAGGGGUGAUCAUGUGACCUGGAUUUAAAUAAUGAGACAUAAGUCGAAGUUGCUGGGUGAGUCUUUUGGAAAAACUUUGUAAUAUUAUGGUAGGCCUUUGCCUCUGCACCUUACUCCUUUUUUCUCCCUUGGACAGGACUUGGUAUUAGGUGUAUCAGCUCUCUUGUGACCAGUUGUAAGGAUGAUGUACACCUGCUAUGAAUGCUGGGGCACAAAAACAGAAAGAGCUCUGGUCCUUGAGGUUCUCAUUGAUCAACUGCUUUUGCCCUGAAAUUGUCUAUCUUCAGACUUCUUUUUUUUUUUUUUUUUUAA
rnacentral:lncRNA from 1 species